GACGGAAGGUGCAAGCGUUGCUCGGAAUCACUGGGCGUAAAGGGUGCGUAGGCGGCCGCGCAAGUCUGGCGUGAAAGCCCCGGGCUCAGCCCGGGAAGGGCGCUCGAAACGGCGCGGCUCGAGUGCCGGAGGGGAGAGUGGAAUUCCUGGUGUAGCGGUGAAAUGCGUAGAUAUCGGGAAGAACACCCGUGGCGAAGGCGGUUCUCUGGGACGGUACUGACGCUGAGACGCGAAAGCGUGGGGAGCGAACAGG
rnacentral:rRNA from 1 species